rnacentral:rRNA from 1 species
CGCGUAGGCGGCCUGCUAAGUCGGACGUGAAAUCCCUCGGCUCAACCGAGGAACUGCGUCCGAUACUGGUGGGCUUGAAUCCGGGAGAGGGAUGUGGAAUUCCAGGUGUAGCGGUGAAAUGCGUAGAUAUCUGGAGGAACACCGGUGGCGAAGGCGGCAUCCUGGACCGGUAUUGACGCUGAGGCGCGAAAGCUAGGGGAGCAAACG